CCAGUGACCUGCUCCUCCAGCACUCGCUUGUGUCCUGUCCUGACUCCUUCCUGUUUAAUGUGACGUCACACGCAGUCAGAGAGGAGCCGGUCGGGGCACGCUGCAACUGCCGCUGCUGGGAGGCGGGAGCCUGGGAGUGGGACCUGAUGGCUUUGUGUCCGGAAGCAGACUGUAGCAGAAGGAGCACUUUUGACAUACAGUAGUGAAGGUGCCGCACUGUCCUACUUGUUAAAGGCAAAUACAAGAAUAACCAAGAAACUAAAAUGGAGGUUCUUCCUGAGCUGUGUAGAAUUGAAUGAGGCUGAAGAAGUGAGUACCUAUUAUCAGAUGAGUCUCUCUACCGGAGGUGGCUGAACAAUAUUCCACAUUUCUACCCGUGACCCUUCUUUCUCCUGUCUGCUUGGGCUAUAAGUUCCUUGGCUUGACCUCAUACCGGCAACUGCAAUGAAGAUGCACAGACCAGCACAGAUGGCAAAGAAUACUGCAACAACUGCAGAGGCCACAGCAGUGAAAAUUCCAGGAGGCAUUAAUUCUGAGAGCUGGAGAGAAAGUAUACAAAAUAUUAAACAUGAAACCUAGACUAUUCAA